CAACUUUCAACAACGGAUCUCUUGGCUCUUGCAUCGAUGAAGAACGCAGCGAAAUGCGAUAAGUAAUGUGAAUUGCAGAAUCCAGUGAAUCAUCGAAUCUUUGAACGCACCUUGCGCCCUUUGGUAUUCCGAGGGGCAUGCUGUUUGAGAGUC
rnacentral:rRNA from 1 species